UGUUAGGGUUACACUGUUUGUAGCUGUACUGGACCUUUCCCUUCCAGCUAGAAGGCUGGCUGCUUCAGCUUCCUCAGUCCUUCUAGCACACAUAGCAAAAUAUUGGAACAAAGUCAUAUAAGUCUCUGGCUCUCCUCCAGGUGGAGAAACUUCAUGACUGGGAGAAGCAGGCAAAGGGGCAAGCGUGGUCAAAAACAGAACCUGUAGCCACAAUGCUAGCAGAC